rnacentral:rRNA from 1 species
GUGUCAGCAGCCGCGGUAAUACAGGGGGUGCAAACGUUGCUCGGAAUUAUUGGGCGUAAAGCGCGCGUAGGCGGCUACUUAAGUCGGAUGUGAAAGCCCUUGGCUCAACUGAGGAAGUGCACCCGAAACUGAGUGGCUUGAGUACUAAAGAGGGUCGCGGAAUUCCCGGUGUAGAGGUGAAAUUCGUAGAUAUCGGGAGGAACACCGGUGGCGAAGGCGGCGACCUGGGUAGAUACUGACGCUGAGGCGCGAAAGCGUGGGGAGCAAACAGGAUUAGAAACCCUUGUAGUCC